rnacentral:rRNA from 1 species
GAAACUUAAAGGAAUUGACGGGGACCCGCACAAGCGGUGGAUGAUGUGGAUUAAUUCGAUGCAACGCGAAAAACCUUACCUACCCUUGACAUGGCAGGAAUCCUUGAGAGAUCAGGGAGUGCUCGAAAGAGAACCCGCACACAGGUGCUGCAUGGCUGUCGUCAGCUCGUGUCGUGAGAUGUUGGGUUAAGUCCCGCAACGAGCGCAACCCUUGUCAUUAGUUGCUACGAAAGGGCACUCUAAUGAGACUGCCGGUGACAAACCGGAGGAAGGUGGGGAUGACGUCAAGUCCUCAUGGCCCUUAUGGGUAGGGCUUCACACGUCAUACAAUGGUACAUACAGAGGGCCGCCAACCCGCGAGGGGGAGCUAAUCCCAGAAAGUGUAUCGUAGUCCGGAUUGCAGUCUGCAACUCGACUGCAUGAAGUUGGAAUCGCUAGUAAUCGCGGAUCAGCAUGUCGCGGUGAAUACGUUCCCGGGUCUUGUACACACCGCCCGUCACACCAUGGGAGCGGGUUUUACCAGAAGUAGGUAGCUUAACCGCAAGGAGGGCGCUUACCACGGUAGGAUUCGUGACUGGGGUGAAGUCGUAACAA